CCAAGGCGUGGGAAAGGUUGU
rnacentral:miRNA from 1 species